AACGAACGCUGGCGGCAUGCCUAACACAUGCAAGUCGAACGAGACCUUCGGGUCUAGUGGCGCACGGGUGCGUAACGCGUGGGAAUCUGCCCUUGGGUUCGGAAUAACAUGAGAAAUUACUGCUAAUACCGGAUGAUGACGAAAGUCCAAAGAUUUAUCGCUCAAGGAUGAGCCCGCGUAGGAUUAGCUAGUUGGUAAGG
rnacentral:rRNA from 1 species